rnacentral:rRNA from 1 species
GGGGAUACCUCCCACAUGGCACGAAAGUCUGAUGGAGCACGCCGCGUGAGUGAAGAAGGUUUUAGGAUCGUAAACUCUGUUGUUGGAGAAGAACAGGGACUAGAGUAACUGUUAGUCCUUUGACGGUAUCCAACCAGAAAGCCACGGCUAACUACGUGCCAGCAGCCGCGGUAAUACAAA